UGAGGAAUAUUGGGCAAUGCCCGCAAGGGUGACCCAGCAACGCCGCGUGGAGGAUGAAUGUCGUAAGAUUGUAAACUCCUGUUAGAGGGGAAGAAUAGUACCGGUUGGACCGGUAUAUGACUGUACCCUCAGAGAAAGCCCCGGCUAACUACGUGCCAGCAGCCGCGGUAAUACGUAGGGGGCAAGCGUUGUCCGGAUUUACUGGGUGUAAAGGGCGCGCAGGCGGGAUAAAAAGUCAGUGGUGAAAUCCUACAGCUUAACUGUAGAACUGCCUUUGAUACUUUUAUUCUUGAGUUCGGAAGAGAGAGACGGAAUUCCAGGUGUAGUGGUGAAAUACGUAGAUAUCUGGAAGAACACCAGUUGCGAAGGCGGUCUCUUGGUCCGACACUGACGCUGAGGCGCGAAAGCGUGGGGAGCAAACA
rnacentral:rRNA from 1 species